UAAUUCGUACUGACUUAUAGAAGCUCAAUGAAGAAGGUGACUAGAUCCAUCAUGAGUCCGAGACCUACAAAAGAAUAUUCGAUUAAUGCCAUUCUCAGUGACGAGUCCUAGGAAGAUCGAUCUCAAGUUAGUUAAGUCCCACGAAAAGACAUGUAUGGAGAAUGGAAUGCAUGAUUUUAAAUCUUACUUUGAGACGUGGAUCUUUAUAUAAAAGUGGGCAUUAACCUGGGCCAAGGCAUCGCAUUCACGUGGUUCAUCUAACGAAAAUACAUUGUCAAUCUAAUCGUACUUGUACAAAGUCAAUAGAUUAAUAAAGACAUUUCUCGUAAAUUACCAAGUAAUGUAGUUAAAAGUAGUCAACUUAUACAAGAAAUGAAACAUUUGUAUUUGGAAGUGAAAAAAAUCGUACAUACUUAUGUGAUGAUCAAGGCCGAAGAAAAACAUGACUCCAUAUCCCCGGUGACUCCUAAACCUAAGAAUGAGAACCUGUCACUAUCUCGGCUAGUGGCCAACCGAGAUAUCGAUAGCCCUCGAGAAGACAAAUAUAAAAAAUUUAAGGCAUUUUUUCGUACCUCAAUAUUUGCAGGUGUAGGGAUAUGUAUUCAAGAGUACUUUGGCCUAGACAUCCGUAUUAGCACAGUUCAUCAUUCAAUCGAGUUCGAUAGUCAAUAGAAUUAGUCCUCGCAAAACCAAACAAUUGCAAAAUAAUCAAUGCUCAUUUAACAAAAAUUUAAAUAAGCUUGAAUGCACGAUUUUUAAAAAUUACUUUUAGACGUGAACUUUUAUAGAAGAGGGGACCAUUACUUAAGACCUAGCCAUCCCAUUCACGUGGUCCAUCGAAUGAAAUUUCAUGGUUAAUCUAAUAGUAACUCUACAAAACCAAUGGUUCAAUAAAGGGAUAUUUUUCGUACGAAAUUAACAAGUAACGUAGUUAAUAGUAGUCAACUUUUACAACAAAUGUAGCAUUUAUAUUUGGAGGGAAAGAAAAUCGUACCUACUUAUGUUAUGAUCAAGGUCGAACGACAACAUGACUAAAUCUCCCUUGUGAGUCCUAAAC
rnacentral:lncRNA from 1 species